UGUGCCGGACGAGGAAGAAGCCAAGUCGCCAGUAGGCGUACUUUUCGUUUUCAAUAUGUACAGGAGCUUGAGGACUCUAAUCGUAUCCAAGACGGUGGCUCUAUGCGAUAUACCGAAGCUCAGUAAAAGCAUGAUCUGCACGCCUGCUAUUAAAGACGCCUUCAGCUGGUCAGUAAAAGGGGGACGCGCCGAGACGGAGAGCAAUUUCGUCCAUUCGCUCUGCCGGGCAGUGUGGCUGGACGCCUACUGGGUGAUGAUCACUCAUCUGGGCUACUACGCAUGCCUCACGGCAAGGACCGUCGUU